CCUACGGGGGGCAGCAGUGAGGAAUAUUGGUCAAUGGACGAGAGUCUGAACCAGCCAAGUAGCGUGAAGGAUGACUGCCCUAUGGGUUGUAAACUUCUUUUAUAUGGGAAUAAAACGUUCCACGUGUGGGAUUUUGUAUGUACCAUAUGAAUAAGGAUCGGCUAACUCCGUGCCAGCAGCCGCGGUAAUACGGAGGAUCCGAGCGUUAUCCGGCUUUUUUGGGUUUAAAGGGAGCGUAGGUGGAUUGUUAAGUCAGUUGUGAAAGUUUGCGGCUCAACCGUAAAAUUGCAGUUGAAACUGGCAGUCGUGAGUACAGUAGAGGUGGGCGGAAUUCGUGGUGUAGCGGUGAAAUGCUUAGAUAUCACGAAGAACUCCGAUUGCGAAGGCAGCUCACUGGACUGCAACUGACACUGAGGCUCGAAAGUGUGGGUAUCAAACAGGAUUAGAUACCCUAGUAGUC
rnacentral:rRNA from 1 species